rnacentral:rRNA from 1 species
UGGGGAAUAUUGCACAAUGGGCGCAAGCCUGAUGCAGCAACGCCGCGUGAACGAUGAAGGUCUUCGGAUCGUAAAGUUCUGUUGCAGGGGAAGAUAAUGACGGUACCCUGUGAGGAAGCCCCGGCUAACUACGUGCCAGCAGCCGCGGUAAUACGUAGGGGGCUAGCGUUAUCCGGAUUUACUGGGCGUAAAGGGUGCGUAGGUGGUCCUUCAAGUCGGUGGUUAAAGGCUACGGCUCAACCGUAGUAAGCCGCCGAAACUGGAGGACUUGAGUGCAGGAGAGGAAAGUGGAAUUCCCAGUGUAGCGGUGAAAUGCGUAGAUAUUGGGAGGAACACCAGUAGCGAAGGCGGCUUUCUGAACUGCAACUGACACUGAGGCACGAAAGCGUGGGUAGCAAACAGG